rnacentral:lncRNA from 1 species
AACAGUGAAACCCGGCAAGGGUACAGCUUCAGCCCAAAAUAUCCCGGCAAGGGAGGAUUUAAUAAUAAUAACUUAUUUGUCCCGGCAAGGGAGAACAAUUCAACACAAGUCCCCGCAAGGAAAAAAUAUCAUUUCAUAGUUUACUUAGUGAUCAAAGGACUCAAUUCUUUCACGACUUUCAAAUUCUAAGACAACUACGACAUCACGGUCAUGCUUAAUACCGGUGUAUAUAUACUCAUCACCAUGCCUAUACACCGUACUCGAUCAUUUAGCAAAUAGCAAUCGAAUACUCUAAUCAUAUUCCCUCAACCAAGGUUAGAUCAAACACUUACCUCGAAGGAUUCCAAUUCAACUCACGCCUCUAGGAUAGCUUUACCCCUCGAAUUCGCUUCAAAACAAGUCGAAUCUAACCAAAAUUUUCUCAAAGAUAUCAACAACUUCUAGUUAAAUCAAUUUGAAUGCAAAAGAGUAAAAUUCCCAAAGUUUUAACCAAAAAUUCACAAAAUUCCCCCGGGCUCACGUGGUCAAAACCCGAGGUUCGAACCAAAACUGGGUUACCCAUUCCUGCACGAGCUCAUAUCUAUAACUAGAAUUGAAAUCGGACCUCAAAUCGAGGUCCAAAAGCUCAAACCCAUUUCCCACGAGCUCAUAUCUAUAACUAGAAUGGAAAUCGGACCUCAAAUCGAGAUCUAAAAGCUCAAAUUAUAGAAAACCUAAGUUCUACCCAAAAUCUCAAAUUCCCAUUUUUGAAAAUCUUUGAUUGAAGUAGAAAUUAUGUUAAAAGAUGUUAAGGAGUAGAAAAUUUAAGUUAGAAAUCACUUACCAAUCGUUUUGAAAAAGAAAAGUUCUUUAAAAAAUCGCCUCUUAGGUUUUGGAUUUGUGAAAAGUGAAAAAAAAUGGCUGAAAUUGUUGGAUUUAUAUACCUUUCUGAGGGUCCAGCGC